CAUACCCCCGGGAAACUGGGUAUAAUACCCGAUAGAUCUCGACUGCUGGAAUGCAUCGAGAUCGAAAGCUCCGGCGCCAGAGGAUGGGUCUGCGGCCUAUCAGGUAGUAGUGGGUGUAGCGUACCUACUAGCCUACGACGGGUACGGGUUGUGAGAGCAAGAGCCCGGAGAUGGAUUCUGAGACACGAAUCCAGGCCCUACGGGGUGCAGCAGGCGCGAAAACUUUACAAUGCCGGCAACGGCGAUAAGGGGACCUCGAGUGCCAGGUUACAAAUCUGGCUGUCGUGAUGCCUAAAAAGCAUUGCAUAGCAAGGGCCGGGCAAGACCGGUGCCAGCCGCCGCGGUAACACCGGCGGCUCGAGUGGUAACCGUUAUUAUUGGGUCUAAAGGGUCUGUAGCCGGCCGGAUAAGUCUCUUGGGAAAUCCAGCAGCUCAACUGUUGGGCUUUCAGGAGAUACUGUCUGGCUCGAGGCCGGGAGAGGUGAGAGGUACUUCAGGGGUAGGGGUGAAAUCUUGUAAUCCUUGAAGGACCACCAGUGGCGAAGGCGUCUCACCAGAACGGACCUGACGGCAAGGGACGAAAGCUAGGGGCACGAACCGGAUUAGAUACCCGGGUAGUCCUAGCCGUAAACGAUACUCGCUAGGUGUCGGCCACGGUGCGACCGUUGUCGGUGCCGUACGGAAGCCGUGAAGCGAGCCACCUGGGAAGUACGGCCGCAAGGCUGAAACUUAAAGGAAUUGGCGGGGGAGCACCACAACGGGUGGAGCUUGCGGUUUAAUUGGGAUUCAACGCCGGAAAUCUUACCGGGACCGACAGCAUAUGAAGGCCAGGCUGAAGACUUGCCGGAUUAGCUGAAAGGUGGUGCAU
rnacentral:rRNA from 1 species